UAGAUAGCUCAGUUGGUUAGAGCAUGGUGCUGAGAAUGCAAAGGUUUCAGGUUCGAUCCCUGUACAGGACAG
rnacentral:tRNA from 1 species